rnacentral:rRNA from 1 species
GAUGAACGCUGGCGGCGUGCCUAAUACAUGCAAGUCGAGCGAACGGACGAGAAGCUUGCUUCUCUGAUGUUAGCGGCGGACGGGUGAGUAACACGUGGAUAACCUACCUAUAAGACUGGGAUAACUUCGGGAAACCGGAGCUAAUACCGGAUAAUAUUUUGAACCGCAUGGUUCAAAAGUGAAAGACGGUCUUGCUGUCACUUAUAGAUGGAUCCGCGCUGCAUUAGCUAGUUGGUAAGGUAACGGCUUACCAAGGCAACGAUGCAUAGCCGACCUGAGAGAGUGAUCGGCCACACUGGAACUGAGACACGGUCCAGACUCCUACGGGAGGCAGCAGUAGGGAAUCUUCCGCAAUGGGCGAAAGCCUGACGGAGCAACGCCGCGUGAGUGAUGAAGGUAUUCGGAUCGUAAAACUCUGUUAUUAGGGAAGAACAUAUGUGUAAGUAACUGUGCACAUCUUGACGGUACCUAAUCAGAAAGCCACGGCUAACUACGUG